rnacentral:rRNA from 1 species
ACGGUACCUGCAGAGAAGCACCGGCUAACCUACGUGCCAGCAGCCGCGGUAAUACGUAGGGUGCGAGCGUUGUCCGGAAUUAUUGGGCGUAAAGAGCUUGUGGCGGUUUGUCGCGUCUGCAGUGAAAAUCCGGGGCUCAACCCCGGACUUGCUGUGGGUACGGGGCAGACUAGAGUGUGGUAGGGGAGACCGGAAUUCCUGGUGUAGCGGUGGAAUGCGCAGAUAUCAGGAGGAACACCGAUGGCGAAGGCAGGUCUCUGGGCCACAACUGACGCUGAGAAGCGAAAGCAUGGGGAGCGAACAGGAUUAGAUACCCUGGUAGUCCAUGCCGUAAACGUUGGGCGCUAGGUGUGGGGCUCAUUCCACGAGCUCCGUGCCGCAGCUAACGCAUUAAGCGCCCCGCCUGGGGAGUACGGCCGCAAGGCUAAAAACUCAAAGGAAUUGACGGGGGCCCGCACAAGCGGCGGAGCAUGCGGAUUAAUUCGAUGCAACGCGAAGAACCUUACCAAGGCUUGACAUAUACCGGAA